rnacentral:rRNA from 1 species
UCGGGAAUUUUGGGCAAUGGGCGAAAGCCUGACCCAGCAACGCCGCGUGAAGGAUGAAGUAUUUCGGUACGUAAACUUCGAAAGAAUAGGAAGAAUAAAUGACGGUACUAUUUAUAAGGUCCGGCUAACUACGUGCCAGCAGCCGCGGUAAUACGUAGGGACCAAGCGUUGUUCGGAUUUACUGGGCGUAAAGGGCGCGUAGGCGGCAAUUCAAGUCAUCUGUGAAAUCUCCGGGCUUAACUCGGAACGGUCAGAUGAUACUGCUUUGCUAGAGUGCAGAAGGGGCAAUCGGAAUUCUUGGUGUAGCGGUGAAAUGCGUAGAUAUCAAGAGGAACACCUGAGGUGAAGACGGGUUGCUGGGCUGACACUGACGCUGAGGCGCGAAAGCCAGGGGAGCAAACGGGAUUAGAUACCCGCGUAGUCCCUGAGCGGGCUGGCAAGGCGCAU